AGAAGUUCAUCUGUGUGAACUUUGUGAUUGACAGCUCAACACAAGUGCGGACUACCGUAAACACAGUUUGAACGUUUUUUGGAGAGAGACUACUAUGUCUAACAAAAAACCAGGAAAACCCGGGGCAACCCGGGUUGUCAAUAUGCUAAAGC
rfam:Bagaza virus isolate ARA23139_Dezidougou_CI_1988, complete genome